UGUUUUUGAUGACCUUGACAGUUUCCAAGAGGACCUGUCAGGAAUCGCGUGGAACAUCUUCCAGUUGGGAUUUACGUGAUGUUUCCCUCGUGCUUAGCCUGGGGUGAUGUGCUUCUGGAGAGGAAGGCCACAGAGGACAAGUGUAACGCACGACACUGCCUAUCAGGGGAACACGCUCUGAAGGAAAAGUAGCCACCUCAGUAAUGGUCAGAGGGAUGCUGGAUCCAACAUCUGUGCUUCGAAUAGCAUCUGGCACAUAGUCUGUGCUCACCAAAUAAUCAGUAUUGAAGACAGGCAGGACCUCAGAUUCUUAACUCCAUGAUCCAGGCCUUCAUCCAGAUUCCAGGGACACAUCCACCUUGGGAGAAUCACCUGACUGAACAGGACAAGCUACAAGGCUCGUGUCUCCUCUGCCUUCAGGUCAGCAUGAAAAGCCGAUUGCACAGCUUCCUUGGCCCCUGCGCAGUAACCCCACUGUGAUCUUGUCCCCUCAGGUCCCUGGGCUCUGGGACAGGAGCGGCACAGAAAGAGGAAGCUGAGGGAACAAGCCAGUCUCCCCUGAGCCCACAGAGCUGGCCUAAGCUACCCACUCAGUCCUGUCUGUAUGCUGGUCCCUCUCACAACCUGGUACAGAUUUUUAGGUGCAAGGACCCUCCCCUCCUCACUGGGAGGCAGCCCCAGGUGUCACCAAAGACCAGGGAAAACAAAAGAUGGACCAGAGAAUCACCCAGAGGAGCAGGAUCACACCCAUGGGGACUUCUUAUGGUUAAGUCUGCUUAGUAGAAAAGGAGCAGCGAUGUUUCUUUCUUGCCUUGAGUUUACUCAAGUUUCUCUUCCCUGGCUGUUGAGUAGAGCAAGAGGCACUUUUAGCUUUCUUGUGGUUAGACUGCCUCUGAGGUUUGUGUACUUGGAAGAAGUCUAUGGAAAACAAAUAUGUGUAUGUGUAUGUAUGACUGAAACAAACUGUACACCAGAAACUGACAUGGUGUAACUGACUAUACUUCAAUUUAAAAAAAAAGUCUAUGAAUUCUGUGUAUGAAGCCACAUAGUGGCAGGAUCCGUGAGAUCUCCACAUUCCAUUAAAAAAUCCAAAAGGGAAGCAUAAGAAUUCCCAAGGCCAGUGCGUUCAAAGUGUGCAGCCAGCUCAGUAUCCAUGUAAGAGGCUGUCCCAGGGUCCCAGGCCUGUCUGAGUGUCAGGUAGGAACUGCAUGAAAAGGAGUCCAAUGUGCUGGGUCCUGGUGGUGGUCGUAGGUGGAAGCCAUUAAGGGGGAGUCACACCCAGAAGGAGUAGGCUCCCCCUGAGUGGGAAAUAGUGAGAAGAGGGCCCACAUUUGGUGGUCAGAGUGUUAGCCAUGAGAGAGUCAGAAGGAGAGAAUGUGGAAAGGGCCAUGGGGCAGGGAUCAGUCUGAGGCCAGCACCAGUGAUGAGGGACCAGGAGACCCCUUGACAGGAUGUGGUCUUUGGAGGCUUGUGUUAAAAGCAUAGGAUGCAGCCAAAGAAGUCUGUGGAACCCAAGGUACUGGAAGUCAGUGAGGAAAGAGAACACGAUGUACUGAGGAACUGUACUUCCCCAGGCCAGCAGCAAAGGUGCUCUCUAAAUUAGGAUCCAGGUAACUGCCUGAAUGCCACACAGCCCCCUCCUCACCUAUGAAGACAACAGAUACCUGGGUGGGUGAGGCUGGGUUUAAAGUCCAGGUGGGCAGCGCUAACAUAGCAGGCAUUCGGGCAGCUUACACCUGCUUUUGAAAGAGCCAGCAAUGAUCGGUUUCUCUUUCUGGUUCUGUCUGCAGCCAGUGAUACUUCUGGGUAUGGUUGACCUUGGACUCAUCGUUCACAAGUCCACCCACCCAUCCAUAAAGUUCACUUCACACUACAUCUUGGGCCAGCAACGAUACUUACAGUGUAACCACUCACAAAGUCCUCAGAGAUUCACAGCAUGAGACAAGAAGUCACACCUGGUCAUUCCCCCUCAUGCUUCCACCCCUGCACUGACUGCCACCAUCACAUGAACUACGCACAAGCCAGUUGACCUGCCUUAAUUUGCACGUGUGGGAUAGGGGUGACUUUCAGUACACGGAAACCAGAUAUUUGAUUGUUAUUACACCAGAUAUUCCAAAUUUCAUAUCAGACAUUGACCUAGUUGGACUUAACAAAAAUUCCAGUAAGGAAGUGGAGCAGAGGCCAGGAAGUGCCCCCUCACUUAUUCCUGAUUUUCUUUCAUUCUCCCUACUUUUUUUUAACCCCAAAUGAAAUCUAAAUAAAGAAGUUAAGAUAGAGCACAGCACAGUGAAGUGAUGCCAAAACUCAGCGCAUCCUCCCCAUUGUCAUGGGACUGAGACCUUGCCAGUGGUGGGUCUCAUCCAAGGACGGGGCUGGGGACACGCUCUUGAGGAACAUGAGCCUCUUCUGAGAUCUGGGUAGCCAUGUUUGCAGGGACAUGCUGGGUGUUCCAUCAUCUGAAGCAGGGCAUGUCAGCACAGAGCAGUCCCGAGGGGGGCCCAGCAGGUUCUCAGGCACAAACACAGAUCCCCACUUGACCCGUAUCUGGAGCACCGUCUAGGGCCCAUCAGUCUAGACCCAUCGCUGUAGUAUUCAGACAAUAAAGAUCACUCCCAUUGCAUCCUGCCCAGAGUGAACGUGUGCGCCCGUCCAGAGGCCUUCUGUCGUUAGGUGAGCCUCCGCCCUUCUAACAGUGCAGGAGAUAGAAUCAUGUCUUCAUCCCAGCCUGCCCUCCCCAUUUUCUUAAUUUCCCAGAAGAGUUUGCUUUCUCCUGGCCCAGACCCCCUGACUCCCCCAUAUCCGUCAGGAGACCUCAGGCCUCCACCAUCAGUUCAGGCAGAACUUCCCCCCAAAAGACACACCUCAGAUGACCUGGAGUCCCUGGAAGAUGAGCUGCUGUCACUAACAUAGUGAGAAACCUGUGGGCUCCCUCCCAUCCAAACCUCCUGCCCAGUCUUCCUCCCCCAGGAGUCCUUGUCCUGAGUAAUGGGGUCUCUGAGCACCAGCUUCCUGGAAGGGUCAUAUUGAAGGAAAUCCUAAAAAGAAGAAUAGAUUGAAAUGACUGCAUGAUCUUUCACUACAUCUGUUCACAAUCCAAUGCAUGGAAAAUCCAGGGAGUCCACACAGAUAGUAAUCUCUAGAUUCAGCCUUUUACUCUGAGAGAAUAGGAUUAAACCCAUUAGCAGGUUUCUAGGGUGUGGCUCUUUGUGAAUAUGCAUUAAGCCAACGAUCCUGGUAAACGUGGUAAUUCAGGAUUGAGUGUUAAAUGAAAUUUGCCCACAUCUGUCAGCCAGGGGGGCUUUUAUGGUCAUCUGAAUUCUGUGUUCUUAACUGUUAUCAAGCUAGACACAAUCUUCCAUUUUUCAUGGAUCUUUUUAAAAUUUCAUCUUUAAAAAGUAAUUUUAUUUUUUUUUAUUAUUUUUUAUGUUUUUGCUUGGGGAGAGGUAAUUAUGUUUAUUUAUUUACUUUUUUGUUUUAAUGGAGGUACUGGGGAUUGAACCCUGGACCUCAUGCACAGUAAGCAUGCACUCUAGCACUGAGCUAUACCCUCCCCCCAUGGCAGCUUUUUUUGAGGUGUAAUUCACAUAUAAAAUUGUAAGGUAUUUGAAGAGCACAUCUUGGUGACUUGAUACAUGUUUACAGUGUGAAAGGAUUCCCUCAUCUGGUUAACAUCAUCACUUCACAUGCGUCUUUCCCUCUCUCUUCCUGUGAGACUAUUUAGGCUUUACUCUCUUGCCAGUUUCAAUUACAUAAUACAGAUCAGCCAUGAUCACCACAUGUUACAUUAGCUCCUCAGACCAUAUUCAUCUUAUAUCUGAACAGUUUCCCUCUUUUACCAGCCUCUCCCUAUUCCCCCACCCCACAGCCCUGGGAACCACUUUUCUACCCUCUUUUUGUUUGAGUUUGACUUUUUCAUAGAUGUAAUAUCUGAGACAGUUCAGAAAACUUCCCCCAAUUGCAAGUUCUUUCUGAGAGUCAUCACUCCAUUUUUCUGUCCAUGUCAUAGAAAAAUACUCCCGGCCAACAGUGGAUCAGUUGUAGCAGGCACUGACCCUGGAGGACGUGCCGCAUGGCUCCGUUUGCUUUGGGAAUUGACUGUGGGACUGAAGGUCUCAACAACUUAGAGCAACAUAAGUUGACAUAACACAAAAAUUUAUCUAUGGCACUAAAUUAACCCAUACAACUGAGAUCUAAAACCAGACACGGAGGGAGAUUGCAUAGUUCCAGGUACAUAUGGGAUAUAUUUGAAGGGUAACGUGGACUUCUUUAGAGCCUGCAGCCUUCUGUUUCCUAAAAGACCAGCCUCCAGCUGUGCCCCUUAAGGUAGUCACAACAGCCCAUCACCAUGGCAACAGACGUUCCAAUGGUGGCCUGUGCUGGGGAAGCUCUGGUUACAAGAUGGUUUUUGUUUUUGUUUUUGUUUGUUAGGGGAGGUAAUUAGGUUGAUUGAUUGAUUGAUUGAUUGUAGCGGGGAUUGAACCUAGGACCUCAUGCAUGCUAAGCA